rnacentral:rRNA from 1 species
GACGAACGCUGGCGGCGUGCUUAACACAUGCAAGUCGAACGGAAAGGCCUCUUUCGGGGGGUACUCGAGUGGCGAACGGGUGAGUAACACGUGAGUAACCUGCCCUUGACUUUGGGAUAACUUCAGGAAACUGGGGCUAAUACCUGAUAGGAGCUCCUGCUGCAUGGUGGGGGUUGGAAAGUUUCGGCGGUUGGGGAUGGACUGGCGGCUUAUCAGCUUGUUGGUGGGGUAGUGGCUUACCAAGGCUUUGACGGGUAGCCGGCCUGAGAGGGUGACCGGCCACAGUGGGACUGAGAGACGGCCCAGACUCCUACGGGAGGCAGCAGUGGGGAAUAUUGCACAAUGGGUGGAAGCCUGAUGCAGCAACGCCGUGUGCGGGAGGACGGCCUUCGGGUUGUAAACCGCUUUCGCUCAUGACGAAGCUUUGUGUGACGGUAGUGGGUAAAGAAGCACCGGCUAACUACGUG